rnacentral:rRNA from 1 species
GAUGAACGCUGGCGGCGUGCCUAACACAUGCAAGUCGAACGGGGUUCUAUGUCGGAAGUUUUCGGAUGGAAGAGAUAGAACCCAGUGGCGGACGGGUGAGUAACACGUGGGUAACCUGCCUCAUAGAGGGGGAUAACAGAGAGAAAUCACUGCUAAUACCGCAUAAGCACACGGGAUCGCAUGAUCCAGGGUGAAAAGAUUUAUCGCUAUGAGAUGGACUCGCGUCUGAUUAGCUGGUUGGCGGGGUAAAGGCCCACCAAGGCGACGAUCAGUAGCCGAUCUGAGAGGAUGGCCGGCCACAUUGGGACUGAGACACGGCCCAGACUCCUACGGGAGGCAGCAGUGGGGGAUAUUGCACAAUGGAGGGAACUCUGAUGCAGCAACGCCGCGUGAGUGAAGAAGUAUUUCGGUAUGUAAAGCUCUAUCAGCAGGGAAGAUAAUGACAGUACCUGAAUAAGAAGCCCCGGCUAACUACGUGCCAGCAGCCGCGGUAAUACGUAGGGGGCAAGCGUUAUCCGGAUUUACUGGGUGUAAAGGGAGCGUAGACGGCGAAGCAGGUCUGAAGUGAAAAUCCGGGGCUCAACUCCGGAAGUGCUUUGGAAACUGUUUUGAUAGAGUGUCGGAGAGGUAAGUGGAAUUCCUGGUGUAGCGGUGAAAUGCGUAGAUAUCAGGAAGAACACCGGAGGCGAAGGCGGCUUACUGGACGAUAACUGACGUUGAGGCUCGAAAGCGUGGGAAGCAAACAGG